ensembl:snoRNA SNORA70 Small nucleolar RNA SNORA70
CUGCAGCCAAUUAAACUGUGUUCCUUUAUUAUGGCAGCCCAGAGUGUGAUGGCUACAAACAGCAACCUCCUCCGUAGUAUAUGCAGCCUGUUGCUUAAAUGGGUUUCCCUAAGGGACCUUGGAAAUGGUG